AGUGAACGCUGGCGGUAGGCCUAACACAUGCAAGUCGAACGGCAGCACAGUAAGAGCUUGCUCUUACGGGUGGCGAGUGGCGGACGGGUGAGGAAUACAUCGGAAUCUACUUUUUCGUGGGGGAUAACGUAGGGAAACUUACGCUAAUACCGCAUACGACCUACGGGUGAAAGCAGGGGAUCUUCGGACCUUGCGCGAUUGAAUGAGCCGAUGUCGGAUUAGCUAGUUGGCGGGGUAAAGGCCCACCAAGGCGACGAUCCGUAGCUGGUCUGAGAGGAUGAUCAGCCACACUGGAACUGAGACACGGUCCAGACUCCGGGAGGCAGCAGUGGGGAAUAUUGGACAAUGGGCGCAAGCCUGAUCCAGCCAUACCGCGUGGGUGAAGAAGGCCUUCGGGUUGUAAAGCCCUUUUGUUGGGAAAGAAAAGCAGCAGGUUAAUACCCCGCUGUUCUGACGGUACCCAAAGAAUAAGCACCGGCUAACUUCGUG
rnacentral:rRNA from 1 species